AGAUGACUCUGGUCGUUUGGCCUGUAGUUGACUGUAAUAACGACUGCUAUUUAUUGCGUGCCUACUUUGUGCCAACUAUGCAGAGAUCUUUACAGGGACUAUUGGUUAAACCCGUGAGUUUUAUAUUCUAAAUUUUACCGAUAGGAAACCAGGGCUCCAGAGCGGCUGGGAUAUUUGCCCAAGGUCACCUAGGUGGGAAGUAGUAGACCGGCAUUUGGUCCCAGCUUUAUAAAUAAAUGGACACUUCUACCAACCUUCUGUUUCAAGCGGACCCCCCUGCCAUCCAUCUCCAGCUCACUCUUGGAGAGAGUACGCAGGAGCUGGAAAUAAGGAAAGAGUCUAAAAGACAAAAAGAAUAAAUCGUUUUGGAAAUAAGUAAUUUACUGUAUGCAAAUGGAACAGCCCUUCAGCUGCUGGAAAGCUUCCAGAGUAGCCCCUAAUGCUGUGCGAGAUGUGCGCGCCUGGCUUGUGGCCAUUGGAUUCUUUCUCUGUGGCAGCUUUCAGCAAAGUGAAUCCAACAUUCCAGCCAGAGGAGGGCAGGAUGCUUAGGAUCCACUGCCAGAGAGCCAACUCCUGCCUCUGGGACUAAAAUGAUCUCCAGGAGCACAGUGCUGGACGCCAGCCUGCAUUCCAUCUCGGGUAAUUAACAUUUUACCAUCCCAAAUCCCCAACCCCUGUAGCUUCAGUGGGAUCACCGCCCUUGUUUCACCUCCUGAUCCAAGCUAUUGUGUAACCUCAUUGGCACUACUUUAAUAAUAAAGCGACCGCUAUAACUCAGUAAUAAUGCCCAACACUUACAGCCUUUCAGCAGAGGAAGACAAGUAUUUCACAAACAUCAAUUAAGAUUAAAUGGCAGGUAUUCCUAGGGCGACUGCCAGCAGAAGGACGAAGAAAAAUCAUGAGUCAAAUUCUAAGGAAGUUCCUAAGAACCUGAAUCCUUAUAACUACAAGCACAUAUCUGCUACUAGCAUUCCAAUAUGGGCAUUCUGAACCAGAAAACAAAACAGAUGAGAAAUGGUCAGGGUCCAAAGCCUUCCGUAUGUUCAUAGUUGGUUGUUCGUAACCCUGAAUUAACCCUUAAACUAGUGCUUGGUUUUAGAGUUAAUUGUUGGAUACCUCUGUCUCCCCAGCUCACUUCCUUGAAAACAAAUGGUUUCUUUUUCAUCUUUGUAUGUCUUAAAUUGCUCUGAUUAUAAAAGGUUCCCCAGUAAAUAAUUAUUCG
ensembl:lncRNA